rnacentral:rRNA from 1 species
AAGUCGAACGGUAACGCGGGGCAACCUGGCGACGAGUGGCGAACGGGUGAGUAAUGCAUCGGAACGUGCCCAGUAGUGGGGGAUAGCCCGGCGAAAGCCGGAUUAAUACCGCAUACGACCUACGGGUGAAAGCGGGGGACCGCAAGGCCUCGCGCUAUUGGAGCGGCCGAUGUCAGAUUAGGUAGUUGGUGGGGUAAAGGCCUACCAAGCCGACGAUCUGUAGCUGGUCUGAGAGGACGACCAGCCACACUGGGACUGAGACACGGCCCAGACUCCUACGGGAGGCAGCAGUGGGGAAUUUUGGACAAUGGGCGAAAGCCUGAUCCAGCCAUGCCGCGUGCGGGAAGAAGGCCUUCGGGUUGUAAACCGCUUUUGUCAGGGAAGAAAUGUCCUGGGCUAAUACCUCGGGAAGAUGACGGUACCUGGAGAAUAAGCACCGGCUAACUACGUGCCAGCAGCCGCGGUAAUACGUAGGGUGCAGGCGUUAAUCGGAAUUACUGGGCGUAAAGCGUGCGCAGGCGGUCGUGC